CCCUAGCCCUGAUGGAAAUGAAAAGCCACGAAAAGUAAAACUGCAUUUUUUCUUGGGUUUAAAAAGCGACCAGCGGAAGCUCUUUUAAGGCCUUAGAAAAAAGCUGUUUUGCCUGAGUGCUUGCAAUGAACAGCGGGAAAUAGC
rnacentral:sRNA from 2 species